UCUGUUAACUGUGGACCACAGGUCUGUUAACUGUGGACCACAGGUCUGUAAACUGUGGACCACAGGUCUGUAAACUGUGGACCACAGGUCUGUAAACUGUGGACCACAGGUCUGUAAACUGUGGACCACAGGUCUGUAAACUGUGGACCACAGGUCUGUAAACGUUGGACCACAGGUCUGUAAACUGUGGACCACAGGUCUGUAAACGUUGGACCACAGGUCUGUAAACUGUGGACCACAGGUCUGUAAACUGUGGACCACAGGUCUGUAAACGUUGGACCACAGGUCUGUAAACGUUGGACCACAGGUCUGUAAACGUUGGACCACAGAUCUGUAAACGUUGGAACACAGGUCUGUAAACUGUGGACCACAGGUCUGUAAACGUUGGACCACAGGUCUGUAAACGUUGGACCACAGGUCUGUAAACGUUGGACCACAGAUCUGUAAACGUUGGACCACAGGCCUGUAAACGUUGGACCACAGAUCUGUAAACGUUGGACCACAGGCCUGUAAACGUUGGACCACAGGUCUGUAAACGUUGGACCACAGGUCUGUAAACGUUGGACCAAAGGUCUGUAAACAGUGGACCACAGGUCUGUAAACGUUGGACCACAGGUCUGUAAAUGUUGGACCACAGGUCUGUAAACGUUGGACCACAGGUCUGUAAACAGUGGACCACAGGUCUGUAAAAGUUGGACCGCAGGUCUGUAAAUGUUGGACCAAAGGUCUGUAAAUGUUGGACCACAGGUCUGUAAACUGUGGACCACAGGUCUGUAAACGUUGGACCACAGGUCUGUAAACGUUGGACCACAGGUCUGUAAACGUUGGACCACAGGUCUGUAAACGUUGGACCACAGGUCUGUAAACGUUGGACCACAGGUCUGUAAACGUUGGACCACAGAUCUGUAAACGUUGGACCACAGGCCUGUAAACUGUGGACCACAGGCCUGUAAACGUUGGACCACAGGUCUGUAAACUGUGGACCACAGGUCUGUAAACUGUGGACCACAGGUCUGUAAACUGUGGACCACAGGUCUGUUAACUGUGGACCACAGGUCUGUAAACGUUGGACCACAGGUCUGUUAACUGUGGACCACAGGUCUGUAAACGUUGGACCACAGGUCUGUAAACUGUGGACCACAGGUCUGUAAACUGUGGACCACAGGUCUGUAAACUGUGGACCACCGAUCUGUAAACUGUGGACCACAGGUCUGUAAACGUUGGACCACAGGUCUGUAACCUGUGGACCACAGGUCUGUAAACAUUGGACCACAGGUCUGUAAACUGUGGACCACAGGUCUGUAAACUGUGGACCACAGGUCUGUUAACUGUGGACCACAGGUCUGUAAAC